UGCAACAACAGCACUGAGGUGCAUGAGCUGGGCAGCAUACUGCUGACAGAGCCCAGUAUGGCAGGUCUGAGCCAGGCCAGGGGCCAUCCAGGCAGACCAACCAGGAAUGGCAGGAAAUAGGGACAGAGACCAAAGACAAGGCUAGAGGCAGAGUUUGAGAUAGACUAUCUAAAAGAUACCUGAUAUUCUGUAUUCAACCUGUAAGGCACGAUAUUUUUGCCAACCCACUUGAAUUCAUCUCCUUCCCAAUUCAGGGACAAACUGAACUUCUUGGAUCCUCCUCAGCUGCCUCUCAGCAAGGCUCCCUGCUACCUGUGUGAAUGGUCUUCUAGUUCUGUGAGUCUCACCUGUCACAUUUCCCCCUGGCUGAAGCUGAAGAACUGUCUGUCCCUGCCAACAUGUGCACUAACUAUGGAGUGAAAGCCUCAGAUAAAAACUCAGUUGAGCACUGCAGCUGCCACAAGCACACAGGGAUGACAUCAGCAGAAGCUCAGCACUCUGACUGAUUUUCAGCAUAUGGCUUCAUCUUGAUGUAGUAUUCUGGUUUCACACAAGAAAAAAAAAAAAUUAAGAAAAAAUCACUCUAGUUAUC